UUAUCAAGCGCUACCCGGAAGCGAUCGGUCACAUGCGAGGGGAGAGCUACACAAAUGUUUGCUACGAGGAGCCGACUAUCAGUCCGAAACCGCCGCGAAUGACUGCGCAUUUAAAUGAAAUAAGCGGAAUCGGCCAGAUCUAGAUGGCGAGCUAACCCUAAUGAACCUGAAUCAACUCAGCUGCUGAAGAUUCCUACCAGGACCCCCUCCAUCCCUCUGCUCAGCUCGGGCUGGUAGGAGGCUCCUGUAGCCGACACGAACUCUUGCACUCGCUCACGCACUUAUUCUGCGACCCAUUGCUCCAGCUACUUACACUAUUCCAUUCCCACACAUGGACGUCUCUCUGAACUGGUACAUCUGGGUCGUAUGAACUGUUAACGUUCACUCUGCGUUGGACUGUGCGUGUGAGCUCUCCAUUGAUCUGUGCGCUCCCGAUCAAUGUUGAAUUGAAUAUUAGAUUUGAAUAUUGAACUGUUGUAAAUAACCUUUGAACUGGGUAAUUAUUUGAAUAUUGAAUCCUUGUAACACAUUGUGGGUUUUACUCUUUAGAAUGGCCAUUCUCUCCCUCUGAAUGUUAAAUGUAUGUUUUGUCUUUGUCUUUAAUUAUAUUCAAUACAUGGUACCAUC